rnacentral:rRNA from 1 species
UACGGGGGGGGCAAGCGUUGUUCGGAAUUACUGGGCGUAAAGGGCUCGUAGGCGGCCAACUAAGUCAGACGUGAAAUCCCUCGGCUUAACCUGGGAACUGCGUUUGUGACUGUGUGACUAGAGUACGGCAGAGGGGGGUGGAAUUCCUGGUGUAGCAGUGAAAUGCGUAGAUAUCAGGAGGAACAUCGAUGGCGAAGGCAGCCCCCUGGGCCUGUACUGACGCUCAUGCACGAAAGCGUGGGGAGCAAACAGG